rnacentral:rRNA from 1 species
GACGAACGCUGGCGGCGUGCUUAACACAUGCAAGUCGAACGGAAAGGCCCUGCUUUUGUGGGGUGCUCGAGUGGCGAACGGGUGAGUAACACGUGAGUAACCUGCCCUUGACUUUGGGAUAACUUCAGGAAACUGGGGCUAAUACCGGAUAGGAGCUCCUGCUGCAUGGUGGGGGGUUGGAAAGUUUGGGCGGUGGGGGAUGGACUCCCGGCUUAUCGGCUUGUUGGUGGGGUAGUGGCUUACCAAGGCUUUGACGGGUAGCCGGCCUGAGAGGGUGACCGGCCACAUUGGGACUGAGAUACGGCCCAGACUCCUACGGGAGGCAGCAGUGGGGAAUAUUGCACAAUGGGCGGAAGCCUGAUGCAGCAACGCCGCGUGCGGGAUGACGGCCUUCGGGUUGUAAACCGCUUUCGCCUGUGACGAAGCGUGAGUGACGGUAAUGGGUAAAGAAGCACCGGCUAACUACGUG